GUGCACUCCUCUAUGUUCUGGAGUCACCUUAAAAUUUUUCUUCCUUGUUAUUUAUCACGUGCUAUACAUAUAGUUGAAGGUUAAUUAGCAGUAUAACUAAGUAGUAAUGCUGCCAGUCUCCUUCAGACAAAC
rnacentral:snoRNA from 1 species